CUGGACCUGGGCAUUUGUGACUCAUCCCUUCUCCUGUCCUUGGAAUGUGUACUCUAUGUGCUUUCACCAGCUGCCUCAGGACACAGCGUUGAGAUAGUAAUGUGGUGUUGAGACCUCGUGGAUGGUGUACAUGACAACCCAGGUAAGUCCUCCAUAUGAACUUAUAGAUUCUGGUGGUGGGUGUAAAGAUCUACUCACAGCCUGCAGCCACCCAAGACCAGCCUUGUGUGUAAGGUCCCUUGUUUAUUAAACUUGCUACCUGCCAAUCUGGAGUGGUCUGCCUUUUUGUCCCCCCNNNNNNNNNNNNNNNNNNNNNNNNNNNNNNNNNNNNNNNNNNNNNNNNNNNCCCGCUGCCUGUGGAGACUGGUUUCAGAUUACAUUCCAGAAGCUACCAAGGUUGUGAACUAAGCUUUAAUCUACCUGUAACAAUUAAAUUGGAACAGCCGUCUAUGGAUAUAGAAAAAUAAAUAACGUAUUAACCUUUUACUGCAAAGACUACUAAAUGAUUCAUUUUUAAGCACAGCAUACUUACUUAGGAUUAUUGGCACAUUAACAUAUAUGAACCCAGCCUAUAUCCCUACUGUGAAAUAUGAGUUAUGAAAUUUGAACACUUUAAAAGUAUUGUUCCUAUUUACUAAGAGCUUUAUCAAGGCUCUCACAUAAACAAGCAUAAUUGUAUAAAUAGUCUCUCAUUUUAUAUCGUAAAGCCUACUAUAGUAACAUAGAGUAAAAAUACUCUAUUUUUCGUAUUGCAGGGUUGCAAAAAAAGACCUCUAUGUUAAAGAUUUAAUGGAUAUUAUAUUUUCCUAAUUUUCAGGUGUUUUUAACACUUUGUAUCACCUGCUCUUUUAAGUCUAUUGCUGUUGCUAUCUAAAUCCAUUCAUCUGAAUGAUACGACAUGAUGAAGCUAUACUCAACUAACAGCAAACCCUGCAGACACUUAAGAUGCACUCUCUUUUGUCUUCUAGUUAGCUAGGAAUAGAAAAGACCCCUUCCACAAUGUCUCCAUUUUAUUUUAGUCCAUUCCAGUAUUAUGCUUCGUGUAAAACAAUGCUCCUGAAACUUUACCUGCUAGAAUUAUAAACAGUGGAAGUGAGGAGGAAGCUAGUAGAGACAGCAGGAAGCCCAGCAUAAAAUCUUAUGCAUGGGUGCUCAAUACUUGCUAAAAGGCUAACAGCUUUUUUAUAGGCUAUUCUUGAAUAUAGAUAUUUAUUCUUGGUCUUUUCAUUAGUUUAUAUAUAUUAUCUAUUGAAAUAAUAGUAAUAAUGAAACUUUACUGAGGGCUUGCCUGUGCCGGGCACCGUUUUAAAUGCUUUCUACACAGGGUAGUUUUCAUCUUUACAACGAGAGUUCUGUACGUGGAUCUAACUAUGAUCACACCGUGUUAUAUAGGAUAACCCCACAACAAGGAGAUUGCCUGAUUCACCCCCCCAUUAAGGACAUUUCUGGAACUUGAACCCACACUCUGGACCACUGUCCAUGCCAUCUGAAGUGUGCCAGCAGUGGCUGUUGGUCAGCCACCAGCUCCUCUGUCCUCCUCCAUGUAUCCCAUCUUCUUUCAAAGGAUAUCCUCUUCUAACAGUUCUGUGUUAAACCCAUAGAGGAAGAUGGAGUGUAGUAGCUGCAGAAGAUUUACAGAAACCAUUUUCCCUGCUCCUGGUGAGUAAGAAUCAGAAGGAAUUGUCCAGACAGUGACCCCCUGGCUUUCUUUUCUCCCCACUCACAGUUGAAGGCACUGGAGACAGGCAGGACCCAGGGUUUUAGAUCGCAUGUGCAGGUUCCCACGUCUCAUGCCUCAAGAAUUGCAAGAUGACGUAUCCAGCAGCUCCUUUGCCUAGUGGAUAGGACACCUUCCAAUAUAUACACGGCUGCAAAGGGCUGACCAUUCUGGUUUUGUGAUUGAGGUUUCAGAUGUCCAUGGUGUGGGCUUGAGAGUUUGUGUUUUCAUUGAGCUUUGUUAGCCCAUCACUGUUGACAAAGUUGGAAUUGAAAAGCAAGAUACUGAGCAGCUGCAGUGUUGGAUGCAGCAAGGGGUCCAUGUUGAUGCUCUCAUAGAAGGGAUGCCUUCUAUGCCAUCAGAGCUGCCUUGCAAAAGCAGCAAACCAUAACUUCACCAACCUUGUCCUGUCCAGCCUCAUGGCUCCUUCCUUCUUCCCUCCUGCUGUCACCACUAACUUCCUCCUCACCUCUGCUGUUUAUAAUUCUAGCAGGUAAAGUUUCAGGAGCAUUGUUUUACACUAAACAUAAUACUGGAAUGGGCUAAAAUAAAAUGGAGACAUUGUAGAAGUGGUCUUUACUAUUACUAACCCAGCUCAUAUCCUUAUGGUUGUUACUUUAAAUUCUGAUUCAGGCAUAUUACUUAUGUCUGUUUCAGUUAGAUUCCCAGCUGUGACCUCUUCUUUGUUUUUCUUUUGGCAUCAAUACCUCCUUCUUGGCAUUUUCUCUAGCUCUCUUUUUCUAUGUAGUAGGAAAGCCUUUUAUAUUUCCUGCUACUGAGAGUAAUGGCUUUAUGAAGCAGAGGUCAUACGCUGUCCAGGGCCCGGUGCCUUCAGGAAGUGUCUCCAGUGUAUGCAGUGUGCACUCUGCUGCUGUGUUUUGGCUACUCUUUCCCUUAGGUCACUCCUCUCCAGAAUUUCCCCUUGCCUGCAGUGGGGAGUGUUUGGACCUUGGCCAGAGUGUGGCAGGUUUUAAUUAAGUGUUCUCUGGUCCGCUUGCUCUUUCCACUAAAGCUGAAGCUUUGCAGCACUCUGUGGUCAGUGGACAUGGUGCAUGCAAGGGCUUGUAUUGGUCUUCUGGGGGAGGGACCCGCUGCUCUGUUUGUCAGACACAUUUGCCUGAGAAAAGCAGCAUGAGCAGAGCAUAGGGGGCAGGGCUUGGUGUAGGUAGUUCAGACCACCAUUGUUGGCACUGUGCUGCUUACUGAAGUUAGUUUAUGCUAAGGGGCGGUGAGGAAAAUGGCUCCAGCCAACUCUCUAGUCCGCACAGAGGGGAGUGCACACCUGCUGCUGCCUGGGAAGCCUUCCCAGAAGAGCUAAUAAUCUCCCCUGUUUGUGUCCCAGGCGUUUCGUAGAUUACUGCCUUCACCAUGACUGUGUGGGCCAUCUGCCGGCCUGGUAGCACAGUGCACCUGUGUUCUAUCCCAGGCAGGCCGACUGAGUUUUAAAAUUCCAAACUUUAGAGAUUUGGCGUGGCAGGGACCCUCGCUUCGUUCUUGGUUCUUUGGGGGAGGGUCUCAUUACUCUGGGACUGAUGCAGGUUUGUCCCAGAAGGGCAGUCCCACCAAAGCACAGGGGCAUGGAGUUUGGAGUAAAGCACAGCAAAGAGCCAGUGUCCCGGCUAGCUGCCCUUAGCAGGUGUCUCUGCACCUGUGCUGAGGGGUAAGGGAGUGAAAUGGCAAUACCGCCUCUCCCAGAUGUGCCCCAGAUGUGUUUGUUCUGUUAGUCCUUAGAUUGGUUUCUUGGGUAUUCAGAAUGAUUUGAUAUUUAUCUAGCUGUGCUUGAGGUCUGGGGCAAGUCUAGGGUCCUCCUGCUACUCUGCUAUCUUAGCUCUCCCGCCCCCCCUUUUCAACCUGUGGCACUUUUUGCUCUUGCUGAGAGAUGGAGAAGUCUGAAAAACCGCUGAAUGUUAAGGAACAAUUAUGUUGACAAUAUGUAUGCUUAUGUCAACUGGAAAUUAUUCUGCCUCAUGUAACAUGCUAACUAAAUAGAGACAUGUUGUUAUAAUAACAGGUAGUAUGCAAAUUCUGAGAUUGUAAAAGAAAUAUUGUAUAAGAAGGAAUUGAGAACACUAGGUGGUGGGGAAAAAUUGGCAUCUCGAAGGAGAGGGAAGGUUAAACCAUAAGCAUUUGCAGCAUACGAGGCAGUGUGCCGGUCUAUUUUACUUUCUUUAAAUUCAUUGAUACUAGUUGAUUUUUAGAACAUCUUUAUAGAUUGGUUUAGUUUUUACUUGAAUCAGGUUUAAAUUCUAAUUUCUGACUGAUUUAAUUGAGAGCUGUUAAUUUAUGAGAACUAUUAAAUUUCUUUAUCAAUUUCAGGCGUGCUUGAUUAUAAGAACUACGUGCUGUCUCUUGAUAAAAAUACAGAUUUUUACCUAAGACUUAGAGUACAGAAUUCUGCAUUUUUUCUCAAUAAUACUUAUUUUUUAAAAAAUUCAAAUCUGUACUUUUAUCUAGAUUCAUUGGUCAUUAAAAUUAUGGUAAGUUACUGGAUAUAUGAAUGGAUGGAUGGAUAGAUAGAAAUAGGCCCCUUAAAAUCUAUUCUAAUAAAUUUCAUUAUGAAUCCCUAGAAGUUAGAAAUUCCUAAACUUAACCUCGAAGGUAACAACAAACCUUUAGUUAGAAAAACAUUACUCUCAACAUGUAGCUGUCAAAUGGUUCUUGUUUAAUGUGAAGUAAAGUCAUACAUCUGAAAACAUGUAUUUAAACAUAUAUGUAUCUUUUACAGAAUAACAACCCAUCUUCCCUGUCCUUAAGAAUGUGAACAAUUCUGGGACGCCUGGGUGGCGCAGUCGGUUAAGCGUCCGACUUCAGCCAGGUCACGAUCUCGCGGUCCGU
rnacentral:lncRNA from 1 species